rnacentral:rRNA from 1 species
GAAUCGCGAUAAGUAAUGUGAAUUGCAGAUUUCCAGUGAAUCAUCGAAUCUUUGAACGCACCUUGCGCUCCUUGGUACUCCGAGGAGCAUGCCUGUCUGAGUGUCCCAUGAAUUCUCAAGCCCAUGCUUUGGCGUGGCUUGGAGGUGGGGGCUGCCGGCGUCGAGAGACGUCGACUCCCCUGAAAUACAUUAGUGAAGACUGGCGGGUCUGGACAAGCACUGUGGCCGUCUCGACGUGAUAAUCAUCGUCGCUGGUCAGCAUGUCUGGGCUCGCGCGCUUGCAGUCAUUUCACUUCUAACCCCAGCGAAGAGGGUCAGCUCUGCUAGUAGUUUUCGGUCGAGAGGCCGGCGAACACAGGGCUGGGCUCGGACCACCCAGCGAAGAGGUCAGCUCUGUCAGUAGUCGGUCACAAGGCUGACGAACGUGGGGCUGGGCUUGGAGCGCCCUUGAUUGAACGGACCUCAGAUCAGGUAGGACUACCCGCUGAAC